rnacentral:lncRNA from 1 species
GUCCAUAAAAGUAUUCUGAAUGAAAAGUUCUGAAGGGGAGAACACAAAGCAGGUUGCGCUACGAAGUAUAAAAAACAGUUUGACCCACCUUUGACCGACCAAGGCUGAAAAUCAAUUUGAGAAGUGCAGAAGAUAAUUUUUUUACACACAUGUGCCCCAAUGAUAUCAUCACUAAUAUACAUAUACAUCACCAGCAUAUACUCCUCACAUAACUCAUACAUGACUACAUGUUACUACAUAAGUUAGAUAUAACUAUAUAUUACUACAAGUUAGUAUGUUACUACAUAGGUUAUAUAUAACUAUAUAUUACUAUACGUGAUCAUAUAUGACUACCAAAAGAUUCAUAUCAUAAUAGAGCUUCAGGAAUUAUUAUCAAGGAUAAUAAGUAAUUUUUUUGGAGUUGUUAUAAACAUUGGUUCAAAAGCAGCAAACUC